rnacentral:rRNA from 1 species
GACGAACGCUGGCGGCGUGCCUAAUACAUGCAAGUCGAGCGGAAGUUGGAGAGCUUGCUCUUCAACUUUAGCGGCGGACGGGUGAGUAACACGUGGGCAACCUGCCCUGCAGAUCGGGAUAACUCCGGGAAACCGGUGCUAAUACCGAAUAGUUUUCGCCACCUCCUGGUGGCGUACGGAAAGACGGUUUCGGCUGUCACUGCAGGAUGGGCCCGCGGCGCAUUAGCUAGUUGGUGGGGUAACGGCCCACCAAGGCGACGAUGCGUAGCCGACGUGAGGGGGUGAUCGGCCACACUGGGACUGGGACACGGCCCAGACUCCUACGGGAGGCAGCAGUAGGGAAUCUUCCGCAAUGGACGAAAGUCUGACGGAGCAACGCCGCGUGAGUGACGAAGGUUUUCGGAUCGUAAAACUCUGUUGUGAGGGAAGAACAAGUACCAACUAACUACUGGUACCUUGACGGUACCUCACCAGAAAGCCACGGCUAACUACGUGCCAGCCGCCGCCGUAACAC